AGGGGGGGGCAAGCGUUGUUCGGAAUUACUGGGCGUAAAGGGCGCGUAGGCGGUUUGCUAAGUUGAAUGUGAAAACUCUGGGCUUAACCCAGAGCCUGCAUUCAAUACUGGCAGGCUAGAGUUCUGGAGGGGAUAGCGGAAUUCCUGGUGUAGCGGUGAAAUGCGUAGAUAUCAGGAGGAACACCGGUGGCGAAGGCGGCUAUCUGGACAGAGUCUGACGCUGAGGCGCGAAAGCUAGGGGAGCAAACAGGAUUAGAUACCCUGGUAGUCCUAGCCCUAAACGAUGGAUACUUGCUGUAACUGGGAUUGAAUCCAGUUGUGGCGAAGCUAACGCAUUAAGUAUCCCGCCUGGGGAGUACGGUCGCAAGGCUG
rnacentral:rRNA from 1 species